rfam:Oryzias latipes DNA, chromosome1, strain: Hd-rR.
CUAAAGGCUUCAUUCUAAGCCAUACACGUUAAUAAAACAGUUUUUU